UCUCUGGUAGUAUAUCGGUUAGUACACGCGCCUGUCAUGCAACACGGCUUGGCAGAUAUUGCACGCGCAAAAGCUGGGUUCGACGCCCAGCCAGAGAG